rnacentral:rRNA from 1 species
AUUGAACGCUGGCGGCAGGCCUAACACAUGCAAGUCGAACGAGUGGCGGACGGGUGAGUAAUGUCUGGGAAACUGCCUGAUGGAGGGGGAUAACUACUGGAAACGGUAGCUAAUACCGCAUACCAUCAGAUGUGCCCAGAUGGGAUUAGCUAGUUGGUGGGGUAACGGCUCACCAAGGCGACGAUCCCUAGCUGGUCUGAGAGGAUGACCAGCCACACUGGAACUGAGACACUGUCCAGACUCCUACUGGAGCCAGCAGUGGGUAAUAUUGCCCAAUGGGCGAAAGCCUGAUGCAGCCAUGCCGCGUUGAUUAAGAGGGCCUUCGGGUUGUAAAGUACUUUCAGCGGGGAGGCGUUACCCGAAGAAGAAGCCCCGGCUAACUACGUGCCAGCAGCCGCGGUAAUAC